UUGUUUUGUUAUUAUGUUAAAGUUAAUAUUAAUGUUAAUUAAGUUAAUUGUUUGAUUUAUAUCAUUUAAAAUAUUGUUUAAAGUAAUAAGUGAAAUAAUGCAGUCAAGUUUAUCUUUAUCCUUUGUUAUUUAUAUAAAAUUAUGCUAAUAAGGUGGUGAUUGAAAGAAGAACCAAAAGGAGGUGUUGUAGUCUUGCCUGUCAUCUUUGUCGUCUUCGUAUUGGAAUGUGCCGUCAUCCUGGUGUUGCCAUCAUUGCCAUUUUGUGUUCGUUGUAUGGUUAUCGUCAUUGCCUUGAGACUGUUGCUUGUCAUCUUGUACUGUGGUGAAUUUUUUAUUAUGUUAAAUGUUAUUAGUGAAAGUAGACUGUGAGUUGCAGCUAGUAUUUGGAUUGUUAGUGAUAUGUCGGCAAAAGUCUAUAUUGUGAAUUAUUGUUUAUCAUCAUCACGUAAUUUGUUCUAUAGUUCCAGAAAGGCAGUUAAUAUUAUUAUACAGGCAAGAAUUGUUUCUGCAAAAAGUUUUAAUACAUUAAUAUUAUAUCUUGUUAGUAAAAUUGCAUUUAGUAUGGAGCAUGUAUUUGAAUCAUUAUUUCUCUGAAUGGAAAACAAUGAAAUUAGUGUACAAAUUAAGAUCGGUAUUAAUCGAAAGCUGCCCAACAGCGAACCACGGUGCCGAACUGAGAGUAGGCGGGUCAGAGGUAUGCAUGACUGUCACAUAUAUGGCAACCUUCUAAUUCUAUAAAAUAUAUAUUUGUAUGCAUAUAAAAUAUAUAUAAACCCAAUUACUUUCAGUUCCUUAUAAUAGAACUAUAUACAUUAGAGCAAAGAGAAAAUCAUAAAUUUGUUAGAUAUGGACUCAGAGAAGUAAUAAUAAUAGAAAAGAUGUGAUGAACAGGAAUCGCUGAAGGAAAAAGAAAUUUCUGUUAAAAAAAAAUACCUGGAAGAACCAUGAUAAAACGAUAACAAAGGAGACCAAAUCAAUUUUCAAAAUUUUUAUCUUUUGUGCAUAUGUAUUAAAUGCUUUCUUAAUCCAGGAAAUAAUUUCAUCUCCCAAUAAUUGUUUAGAAUAUACUGUGAGUUUUUCUUUAAACUGAAGUCUGAUUUUUGACAUUGAGUCGGUUCUGAUACAUAUAUCAUGUCGGGAAUCAUUGGCUAUGAAUUUUUUUUAAUUCUAACAGCUAUGCAUUUGAACAUAUUGGCCCUUUUGAGCGGAUUCAAAUCGUUGAACAUUUUUGGUGGUUAUGUCUGUGUGAAGAGUCGACCGACCCUGGAAGAGUGGGAGAUGGCCAUAAGCGGUCAAGAAACAGUCAGUUUUGGACCAGCAGUCGAGAGGAUAAGUUCCAUCGAUUACUGGUGCACUCAAGGGUAUUUAUUCUUUGUUGAGUUU
rnacentral:lncRNA from 1 species